UACGGAGGGGGCUAGCGUUGUUCGGAAUUACUGGGCGUAAAGCGCGCGUAGGCGGCCUGCUAAGUCGAACGUGAAAUCCCCGAGCUCAACUCGGGAACUGCGUCCGAUACUGGCAGGCUUGAAUCCGGGAGAGGGAUGCGGAAUUCCAGGUGUAGCGGUGAAAUGCGUAGAUAUCUGGAGGAACACCGGUGGCGAAGGCGGCAUCCUGGACCGGCAUUGACGCUGAGGCGCGAAAGCCAGGGGAGCAAACGGG
rnacentral:rRNA from 1 species